GACGAACGCUGGCGGUGUGCUUAACACAUGCAAGUCGAACGGUAAGGCCCUUUCGGGGGUCCACGAGUGGCGAACGGGUGAGUAACACGUGAGUAACCUGCCCUCAUCUCUGGGAUAACAGUCGGAAACGGUUGCUAAUACUGGAUAUGAGCUUGCAAGGCAUCUUGUGGGUUGGAAAGAUUUUUUUGGUUGGGGAUGGACUCGCGGCCUAUCAGCUUGUUGGUGAGGUAGUGGCUCACCAAGGCUUCGACGGGUAGCCGGCCUGAGAGGGCGACCGGCCACAUUGGGACUGAGAUACGGCCCAAACUCCUACGGGAGGCAGCAGUGGGGAAUAUUGCACAAUGGACGGAAGUCUGAUGCAGCAACGCCGCGUGCGGGAUGACGGCCUUCGGGUUGUAAACCGCUUUCAAUUGUGACGAAGCUUUUUGUGACGGUAGCAGUAGAAGAGGCACCGGCUAACUACGUG
rnacentral:rRNA from 1 species